ACGUGCACGGUAACUAACGCCAUUAAAGUGAGGUCGCUUGAUCUAAGGUGGUCCUAAGCGUUUUUUGGGGAGGGGAAUCUAGUAGAAUAGUUCAACGAGAGCGCAGUGAUAGUGUACGCGCCGAUACAUUCCACGCAGCCCCGCAGACAAAUGUCGUACGAAUGAAGGAAAUGUCCUGAACGAUGGCCAAGUCCUCAACAUGUCAACUCCCUGCGUGAGUUACAGCUGUCGUAAAGGAAACCUUACGACGCAAAAGUGUCCAGGAGCUGGCGAUCCGGCAUGCAAGGCAUCUUUCGUCGAAGACGGCCCAUUCCCGAAGUGUUGCGGCGCAGUCUCCUGUUCAGGACACGGUCGUCAAAGAACGUGAAUCGCGUGAGCAAAGUCAGACGAUAUACAUAGAUCCGAAGAAGUGGAAAUAUGUUCUGCGAAUACCUUGCGUGGACUUUUCUGUUUAAUAUUUUUUGCUCAUAUCAUUGUAGGUUACCCGAUAACACCACUGUUCUCUCAAAUGGAGGGUCAAUGAAUUCGACGCAUCCUUGUGUGCGGUACAUUUGCAACCAGGGAAACCUAACCACGAGAAAAUGCCCCAAGAAAGGUUACCCAGAUUGCCUGACUCCUGACGCACUGAAGAGCGCAUUUCCUGUCUGUUGUCCUCCACCGGUAUGUUCGUGACAGUAAAUAUGCGGGAGACAGAACGACUUGUUUCUUUUUUUUUUCUUUUUCUGUAUUGCCACUGUUUUUUGAAAAUGGCACCGUCACUUGACGAAAAGAAACAAAGGAAGAAGAUAUGCUUUGGUAUUUUUCCUUCUUUGUUUCUACUGAAAUGUCUUUUAGUAGAACUGUUUGUAUUCAAUAAAGUUAACUGGA
rnacentral:lncRNA from 1 species